GAGCGGCAGCGGGAAGUAGCUUGCUACUUUGCCGGCGAGCGGCGGACGGGUGAGUAAUGUCUGGGAAACUGCCUGAUGGAGGGGGAUAACUACUGGAAACGGUAGCUAAUACCGCAUGACCUCGAAAGAGCAAAGUGGGGGACCUUCGGGCCUCACGCCAUCGGAUGUGCCCAGAUGGGAUUAGCUAGUAGGUGAGGUAAUGGCUCACCUAGGCGACGAUCCCUAGCUGGUCUGAGAGGAUGACCAGCCACACUGGAACUGAGACACGGUCCAGACUCCUACGGGAGGCAGCAGUGGGGAAUAUUGCACAAUGGGCGCAAGCCUGAUGCAGCCAUGCCGCGUGUGUGAAGAAGGCCUUCGGGUUGUAAAGCACUUUCAGCGAGGAGGAAGGCAUUAAGGUUAAUAACCUUGGUGAUUGACGUUACUCGCAGAAGAAGCACCGGCUAACUCCGUGCCAGCAGCCGCGGUAAUACGGAGGGUGCAAGCGUUAAUCGGAAUUACUGGGCGUAAAGCGCACGCAGGCGGUUUGUUAAGUCAGAUGUGAAAUCCCCGAGCUUAACUUGGGAACUGCAUUGAAACUGGCAAGCUAGAGUCUUGUAGAGGGGGGUAGAAUUCCAGGU
rnacentral:rRNA from 1 species